CUGCAGCCUGCGGUUUACAGGCCAGAUGGUCGCUAAUCAGCAGAUCAGUUCAAUGUUUGUGCAACUUUAUGCCCGUUAUUACGGCUUGUUUCUCCUCACGUGUGAUCGCCUCCGAUGACUCGCUCCCCUGCCGGCCCCGAGGGACCCUGAUCUGCCUCCACAGCGGCUGUCUCCCGCCGGGGCCCCGGGGCCCCGGAGCCGGCGGCCAUGUCCGUCGGGUCUGUCGGCGGCCAUGCUGCGGUGGUUUAAGGGCCCCGGCGUGGGGGGGGGAGCGUCUCGGUGGCGGCGUUUCCACGGCGACAGAUGGCUAAUGUCGCGCCGCCGCUACCGUCUCUCGGUGGGGCGUUAGCGCGUCCAUAAAACCGACGGUUUGACGUCUCUGUUUCGUACGAUUUUACAACCUUUUCAGAUUUUUUUUUUUUUUUUUUUAUGCUGGUAAAGUUUCCGCGGUGAAACGGUGUAGCUUAGCAUGCUAACGUUUUUUUUCACUUUUUUUUCAAACGUGAUUUAAAGUAAAGAUGAAGAAAGAAAUACGAGCUAAAUAUCGUUGUGCGAGACAUUAAAGCUGUAUGGAACCGGGCCAGGAAACUUUCCCAAGCCGUCAGCGGUCGUCUGAAGGGAGGUGACCCGUCUCCUAGUGAUUCCCCUCCAGGCUCCCCGAUCACUGGGGAGGGUAACAGGUAACAUCGUCUGAAGACCACCUGGCCUCCCCGCAGCAGGACGGAGUGUGAGGGGGACGGCGUAGGACUGACUCCCCUGGCUUCCCACCGAGUCCCUUCCUCUUCUGAGGAGCCCCCCCGCCAGACCCUUCACAUCCCAGCCCUCCUGAUAUUUUGUUCUCAAUGGCGAAUGAACCAACGUCUCCGUACCCGUUCGGUCCCCCCGUUCAGAGGCGAGGGCUUGAUUUCAAAGUCUUAACUGCCGUGAAUUUACAACUUUUCUAUCUUUCACGCGACGGAAUCAAUACCAGGACUGAAGUGCGACUGGGGGGAUAAAAAUUUAUGGUAUCUUGCAAUUUAAUGGUUGAAAAGAUGCAAUUUGAAAGAUCAUAAAUUGUGAAGGAGCGCGUGCUUCAUUGCCCUUGAUUCAGUGCUUGCUGUUAGAACUUGAUUUGCGAGUGUCUGCAAAGUGUGAUUAACGAGCCGGCACGAGCGCGCGGCGGCGGCGGCGGCUACAGCGGCUACGGCGGCACACUCUGG
ensembl:lncRNA